rnacentral:rRNA from 1 species
CCUACGGGAGGCAGCAGUGGGGAAUAUUGGACAAUGGGCGCAAGCCUGAUCCAGCAAUGCCGCGUGAGUGAUGAAGGCCUUAGGGUCGUAAAGCUCUUUUACCAGGGAUGAUAAUGACAGUACCUGGAGAAUAAGCUCCGGCUAACUCCGUGCCAGCAGCCGCGGUAAUACGGAGGGAGCUAGCGUUGUUCGGAAUUACUGGGCGUAAAGCGUACGUAGGCGGUUAUUCAAGUCAGAGGUGAAAGCCCGGGGCUCAACCCCGGAACGGCCUUUGAAACUAGGUAGCUAGAAUCUUGGAGAGGUCAGUGGAAUUCCGAGUGUAGAGGUGAAAUUCGUAGAUAUUCGGAAGAACACCAGUGGCGAAGGCGACUGACUGGACAAGUAUUGACGCUGAGGUACGAAAGCGUGGGGAGCAAACAGGAUUAGAUACCCUGGUAGUCCACGCCGUAAACGAUGAUAACUAGCUGUUCGGGCACUUGGUGCUUGAGUGGCGCAGCUACGACAUAAGUUAUCCGUCCGUCGGGUAGGUACGGUCGCGAGAAGUUAAACGUUAAAGUAAAGUUAGACGGUAACGUGUAGACGUUGUCCGAACGGACGACGACGAGGGAGGAGG